CAUCCCAGUUCGGACCAGUUCAGACCAGUUUGGACCAGUUUGGACCAGUGACCUCCAGGGGACCUCCAGGACCGUCCCAGUUCAUCCCAUUUCGGACCAGUUUGGACCAGUUUGGACCUCCCAGGACCCCCCCCGGAGCCUCCCAGUUCAUCCCAGACCAUCCCAGUUCAUCCCAGUUCAUCCCAGUUCGGACCAGUUCGGACCAGUUUGGACCAGUUUGGACCAGUGACCUCCAGGGGACAUCCAGGACCAUCCCAGUU